rnacentral:rRNA from 1 species
CAGGUUUACCUGUGUGACUGCGUACCUUUUGUAUAAUGGGUCAGCGACUUAUAUUCUGUAGCAAGGUUAACCGCAUAGGGGAGCCGGAGGGAAACCGAGUCUUAAUUGGGCGUUAAGUUGCAGGGUAUAGACCCGAAACCCGGUGAUCUAGCCAUGGGCAGGUUGAAGGUUGGGUAACACUAACUGGAGGACCGAACCGACUAAUGUUGAAAAAUUAGCGGAUGACCUGUGGCUGGGGGUGAAAGGCCAAUCAAACCGGGAGAUAGCUGGUUCUCCCCGAAAGCUAUUUAGGUAGCGCCUCGUGAAUUCAUCUCCGGGGGUAGAGCACUGUUUCGGCUAGGGGGCCAUCCCGGCUUACCAACCCGAUGCAAACUGCGAAUACCGGAGAAUGUUAUCACGGGAGACACACGGCGGGUGCUAACGUCCGUCGUGAAGAGGGAAACAACCCAGACCGCCAGCUAAGGUCCCAAAGUCAUGGUUAAGUGGGAAACGAUGUGGGAAGGCCCAGACAGCCAGGAUGUUGGCUUAGAAGCAGCCAUCAUUUAAAGAAAGCGUAAUAGCUCACUGGUCGAGUCGGCCUGCGCGGAAGAUGUAACGGGGCUAAACCAUGCACCGAAGCUGCGGCAGCGAACGUAUCACUUAAAGCGAUUCAGCGGGUUACGAUUGACGGAGCGAAGCGACGUCAAAGCGUAUACAAAGUCGAGUCGGUUUA